UUUUCAGAGCCAUUAUCAGAUAUGAAAAGCUUCACACAAAACUCUGCUUAUACUCAAUGUGUUGCUACAUAGUGAUGUUACCUUGCAACCCAGAUGCCUUUUUACUCCUUCAGAGUGACAAAUGGGAUUUCACCACAAUAAUAGCUUUCCUUUGUAAGCUUUAUUAUCUCCAAUAGAUGGUGUUUCGUGAUAUAUUUUUGCCCUCAGUUGUUGCAUUUCCCCUUUGAAGAGACAUGCUUUAUGGUUGCAACCUCAUUAUUUGAACUGGAUGCUCAACUAUAUUGCCAUGAUUACUGGAUGAGUUAAAUUAAUAGAAAUUUAUUUUUCACAGGGAGAAGAGGAAGGAGAGCAAAGAGAGGAUCAGAGAAAAAGAAAAGAUUAGAGAGAAAGACAGAGAUAAGGAAAAAGAGAAGGAUCGGGACAAAGACAGGGGCAGAGAGAGGGACAAAGAGAGGGGCAGAGAAAGGGAGAGAGAAAAGGAGAGAACCAAAGAUAGAGACAAAGAGAGAGUGAAAGAUAAAGAGAAGGAUAGAGAAAGAGACAGAGGCAGAGAAAAGGAAAAAGACCGAGAGAAGGAAAAAGGAAAAGGAAAGGACAAAGAGGAGAAGGAGAAAGAGAAGGAAGAAAAGGGCAAGGCAGAGGAUUUAGACAAAGAAGGGGAAAAGGUUAAAGAGAGAGAAACUGAAAAGGAGGGAGACAAGGAGAAAGAUGACAAUGAACAGGUAAAAGAAAAAGAAGAUGAGGGAAAAGACCAAGAGAGAGAAAAAGAAAGAGAGAAGAGCAGUGAAAAAGAAAGAGAGAAGACUAGAGAAUUAGAAAGAGAGAAGACCACUGAAAAAGAAAGGGAGAAGGCCAGUGAAAGAGAAAGAGCGAAGGACAAGGAAGUAGAGAAGGCAAAAGACAAGGAUAAGGAAAGGGACCGAGAGAAAGAGAGAGAGAGAGAAGAAAAAAGGAAAAAGGAGAAAAGAUCCAGGACACCUCCUAGAAGUUACAGUUCCUCAAGAAGAUCACGUAGUUCCAGCAGAGAUAGACGGAAGAGGAAGAGCCGAAGUCCCUCAAAAUCUCCCAGAUCUUCCAAAAUCACAAAGAGGAAAUCUUCCCGGUCUCCAUCUCCAAGGAGGUAA
rnacentral:lncRNA from 1 species